rnacentral:rRNA from 1 species
UACGAAGGGACCUAGCGUAGUUCGGAAUUACUGGGCUUAAAGAGUUCGUAGGUGGUUGAAAAAGUUGGUGGUGAAAUCCCAGAGCUUAACUCUGGAACUGCCAUCAAAACUUUUCAGCUAGAGUAUGAUAGAGGAAAGCAGAAUUUCUAGUGUAGAGGUGAAAUUCGUAGAUAUUAGAAAGAACACCAAUUGCGAAGGCAGCUUUCUGGAUCAUUACUGACACUGAGGAACGAAAGCAUGGGUAGCGAAGAGGAUUAGAUACCCUCGUAGUCCAUGCCGUAAACGAUGUGUGUUAGACGUUGGAAAUUUAUUUUCAGUGUCGCAGCGAAAGCGAUAAACACACCGCCUGGGGAGUACGACCGCAAGGUUAAAACUCAAAUGAAUUGACGGGGACCCGCACAAGUAGUGGAGCAUGUGGUUUAAUUCGAAGAUACGCGCAGAACCUUACCAACACUUGACAUGUUCGUCGCGACUCUAAGAGAUUAGAGUUUUCGGUUCGGCCGGACGAAACACAGGUGCUGCAUGGCUGUCGUCAGCUCGUGUCGUGAGAUGUUGGGUUAAGUCCCGCAACGAGCGCAACCCUCACUUUUAGUUGCCAUCAUUAAGUUGAGCACUCUGAAAGAACUGCCAGUGAUAAGCUGGAGGAAGGUGGGGAUGACGUCAAGUCCUCAUGGCCCUUACGUGUUGGGCUACACACGUGCUACAAUGGUAUCUACAACAGGAAGCAAGACUGCAAAGUUAAGCAAAUCCCUAAAAGAUACCUCAGUUCGGAUUGCACUCUGCAACUCGAGUGCAUGAAGCUGGAAUUACUAGUAAUCGUGGAUCAGCGUGCCGCGGUGAAUGCGUUCCCGGGUCU